CCUACGGGAGGCAGCAGUGAGGAAUAUUGGUCAAUGGGCGAGAGCCUGAACCAGCCAAGUCGCGUGAGGGAAGACGGUCCUAUGGAUUGUAAACCUCUUUUGCCGGGGAGCAAAAAGCGGUACGUGUACCGCAUCGAGAGGACACGAAGAAAAAGCAUCGGCUAACUCCGUGCCAGCAGCCGCGGUAAUACGGAGGAUGCGAGCGUUAUCCGGAUUUAUUGGGGUGAAAGGGGUCGCAGGCGGAAAGUUAAGUCAGCGGUAAAAUUUCGGGGCUCAACCACGACAAUCCGUUGAAACUGGCUUGCUAGAGUGGUGGAGAAGUAUGCGGAAUGCGUGGUGUAGCGGUGAAAUGCGUAGAUAUCACGCAGAACUCCGAUGGCGAAGGCAGCCUACCGGAUCCCAACUGACGCUCAGGCACGAAAGCGUGGGUAUCGAACAGGAUUAGAUACCCUUGUAGUC
rnacentral:rRNA from 1 species